GAGGCCCACCCACCUUGGGGAGGGGCCAGCUGCUGUGUUCAGUCCGCCAUUGCAAACACGAAGCUCUUCCAGAAACGCCCUCACAGACACCCCGGAAGUCACGUACCCACUCUGUAGGUGCCCCGGGGCACAGGCAAGCGGACGAGCCAGUUAUCCCUCAGAGCUCCUGCUGCCUCGCCCGCUUUCUCUCGGAAACGUGAAGUGUGGCCUCAGCUGAAAGUGAGGUGGGCCUCAUUCAAUCAGUUGAAUUCUUCAAGAGAGAAAAACUGAAGUCCCUUAGAAGGAAAGAGUUCUGCCUUCAGACUGUCUUUGAACUUAAGACUGUAGCGUCGACUCCUGCCGGAAUUUCCAGCCUGCUGGCCAGCUCUGCAGAUUCACACUUGCCAGCCUCCACAAUCGCAGCUGAGGCGGAGGAACCCUAAGGGCUCAUUGAGAUCAUGGAUUUGCCCUUCUAUGCAUUGAUGGAGCACCUGCUGCCCACAGCGUCUGUAUUUGGUGCUGGGAUGCUGAGCCUCCUUCUUUAUGAAUUUUUAAAAGGACACUGAGAUCUUCAAACAGAGGCUGCCACUCUAAGCAAACAGAUCCCGAGCCCUGGACUCUGAAGCUUGGGCCCAGUUCUCCUUUUCUCCGGGUUUCAGAUCCCACUGUGAAGUGAGGGGGCCCUUCUGAUUCAGGACCCGGGGAAGCCAGGGGCAUGAGCAUCGGUGCCUCUUCUCUAUUUCAAGGACCCUUCUGGGUGUAAAGUUCUCUGAGAUGCCUUACAUGGAUUCCCACCACUGCAAGAUAACCAUCGUAUGUAAAGUGUUAUGACCAGCAGAGCGUAAUUGAAGUGCAUUCCAGAGGGAAAGACAGCGGCUCAGAUGAGGCUUCAGGCUUGACCAAAUCUGACUGGCUGGCUGCCGGAGACACUGCUACCCAUCGGCCCUUAAUAAAUGGCCUCAUUUGAUCAUCAUGUGAUCUUCAGAAGCUGGGCUUGAUUAUCCUUGCCAAACAAAAUGCUGAAACCAAAAAUCUGAAAGUAAAUCAAAGGUUUCGCCAUCAUGUAAACCCUUGGGCGACAGAGUCUACCUGUCUCCCCCUGAUAUUGUUCUAUGAGAUUUCGAUGCUAUCUUCAUUGCCAGCAGCCCUGACAAAGAUGCACUGCAGACGGAUAGCCUCUCAGGUUUACAUCAGGAAAACAAAACAGAUGACAUCCAUGGGCUCUCAAGGAAAUUGCAAUAUAAUGACAAAUUUCUCUCAACUGUUUGGCUUCUCUGGAGGAAAUACGCAGGAUAUGCAGUAAGAAGUGAGAUGGGAUCGUCAGGUAAGGCUGCCUGGAGGAGGUGGCAUGGAAGCCAAGGCUGUAGAGCAAGUUGACUAGGCAUUGCACAGGGGGAACUGCAUCCUUGGUAGAGGGAAAGGAAUGUGUAAGCCUUGAGGUAGGCACCAGCUCUCUGGUUAGAGGAAGAGACGGUAGGCCCUCUCCAGGGCAGCUUGAGCUUAGGGAAGGAAGAUAAGUAUCAUGACAAGAGGACGGAUGGGCCUAGAUCUCACAGGAUUUGUGGGUCAGGCUUGGAUUGGCUUAUUCUAGGGCUAAUGCAAAGCCAGGGCUGAGGUUUCCGGUGGUGAUGACCUGCACUGUGAUGGGACCUUUUGGCUGCUUCUGGUGCAGGCAAUUGUCAGCCUUCACCUUUGCCCCAUCAGCUUUGCCAGAAGUUUGGCCAACUUCCCUGAAAGGCCUUUUCUAACCAUCUCAGUUAAAUUGCAGUCUGCAUUUCAUAAUCAUAAAGAGGUCAAUUAUCUAAGAAGACAGAGCAAUACUUAAUGUGCAUGCACCUAACAACAAAGCAUCAUAACACGUGAGGCCAAAAACGAUAGACCCGUGAAGAGAUGCAUCCACUACUGUAGUAGGAGACUUAAAAUCCCUCAGUCAGCACAGGACAGAUGUAGCAGGCAGAAAAUCAGUAAGGAUGUGGUUGAACUCAAUGGUACCAUCAAUCAAGUGGAUAUAAUCAAUACCAAUAGAUGACUUCAUUUAACAAUAACAGAGUACAUAUCCUUCUCAAGAUCACAUGGAACAUUCACCAAAAUGGAUGAAAGUCUCGGCCAUAAAACACAUUUAACACAUUUAAAAGAAUAGAAAUCAUACAGUGUGUGCCUUUAGGCCACAGUGCAAUUAAACUGGAAAUCAAUAACAGAAAGCUGGAAAAUUCCAAAGUACUUGCAGAUUAAACAACACACUUGUAAAUAACACAUGGGUCAAAGAAGAAAUCUCAAGAGGAAUUUUAAACAUAUUUGGAACUGAAUAAAAAUGAAAAGAUAACAUCACAAUUUGUGAGAUGCAGCAAAA
ensembl:lncRNA EPIC1 epigenetically induced MYC interacting lncRNA 1